AUGUGAGGGCAGGAUGAGCACAUGAGAGUGAGGGCUUCCUUAAAGCCCGUGGUCCAGGGUCCUUCGGUCCCCUAAUCCCAGAGCAGAAAAGAAAGCCUUCAAAUCCAGCUGCUGCCUGAAGAGCCUCAGACUCACUCCCCUGUGGCAGCAAAGUGCAUUUAUUUACCCACAAGGCCCUGUAGUGCUGAAUGGGAGAUGGGGCUGUCAGGGACUCAUGGGAAAGAAUGGCACAUUUGCUACAAACUCAUUCAGCUUAGUUUUACACUGUGGCUGCCCCUGUAGUGUCAUUUGUGACACCAGAAUUGUGUUCCAUACCAACCAAAUAGCUUCUCUUCCUAUUCAUGCCAGUGCCUGGAACUAUAUAAUCAUUCAUUAAUUCAUUUAUUUGUAGCCAUCCUCUUUAUAUAGGCUUAGAGAGCCACUAAUCGAAUCCAAGCCUUACGUCAGGCAGCAGAGAUACCAAGAUGAGGUUGAAGAAAACACACGGGUUUCUCUUCUCAUGGACUCCAACGAGGAUGGCAACGACAUGGUAAUUAGAAGUCAUUAGCAGAUAGAUUGCUCUCAGCAAGUGGAAAGCAGUGAGAAUUCUCAACCAAGCCUUCUCUGGACUUCAGGGAAGUCCCUCUAAGGAAGCGGCGUCUAAACUGGAACUCCACUGCCUCUUAAUGGACAAGAGAUUCCCAUGGAUGCAGCACUCAUAUUCUGGCCUCCAAAGAGAGUCACAUGAAAAGCAUGCCAGGGCAGAAUAACAAAAGGAGCCAGGCCCCUACAGGGCAUCAUGAAUUGUUCAAUCAGUCCUGGACUUUCACCUGAGAUUUAUUGUCAGGUGAAAAAAUAGCCUCUAUUUUGUUAAGCUACUGCUGUUUGCUUUCUGUUAUUUGCAGCUAAACUCAGUCCUAAAAGAUAUAUAAAUCCUGUUCAUUUUUCCAAAUGUCUUCAGAAAUACUGCCUUGGGUGUCUAACUAUUACUGACUGAAUUGUGCCCCUUUAGAAUUCAUAUGUUGAAGUCCUAACCCCUCAUAAGGGAAUGUUAGCAUGUUUGGAAAUAGGGUCUUUAAAAAGGAAAUUACAUUGAAAUGAGCUCAUGAGGGUGGUUCCUAAUCAAGUGUGAUUGGUGUCCUUAUAAAAUGAGGAAAUUGGGACAGAGACACAUCCACAGAGGGAAAAUGAUACAAACAGACAUAGGGAGAAGAUAGUCUUCUGUAAGCCAAGGAGAGAGGCCUGGAAUAGAUCCUGACCUUAUGGCCCUCAGAAGAAAUCAACCCUGCCAACACCUUGAUCUCUGACUUCCAGCCUCCAGAAUCACAAGGAAGAUGUAAGAAAACUCUGAAAAAUGAAGAAAAGAAGGAAACUGGCUAGGGACUUCAAAACCUAAGGAACAACAUGGGGAACUGUGUAGAUGGGACAGAGAAUAACUGAUGGAGAUUGAUCCCCAAAUGGCCAGAGUGCAAGGUGCUUUAUGGCACUGCAACACUUCCCUAUGAAGCCAUACACAUCUCAUUGAGUAAGGAAGGAAGCUGCCUGUGACUGAGACCCUGAAAUGGACCAGGGAGGAAACUGAGUCUUGAAGAGAUUGUGUAACUUUUCAGUGAGUGCAAGCACUAGUAAUUACAAAAUGUGAAUUAAAAACCCAAAAUGCU